rnacentral:rRNA from 1 species
UGAGGAAUAUUGGACAAUGGGGGAAACCCUGAUCCAGCCAUGUCGCGUGAGUGAAGAAGGCCUUCGGGUUGUAAAGCUCUUUCAGAUGUGAAGAUGAUGACGGUAACAUCAGAAGAAGCCCCGGCUAACUUCGUGCCAGCAGCCGCGGUAAUACGAAGGGGGCUAGCGUUGUUCGGAAUUACUGGGCGUAAAGCGCAUGUAGGCGGUUUGUUAAGUUAGAGGUGAAAUCCUAGGGCUCAACCCUAGAAUUGCCUUUGAUACUGGCAAACUAGAGACCGAUAGAGGAAAGCGGAAUUUCCAGUGUAGGAGUGAAAUCCGUAGAUAUUGGAAGGAACACCAGUGGCGAAGGCGGCUUUCUGGAUCGGUUCUGACGCUGAGGUGCGAAAGCGUGGGUAGCAAACA